UUUUAUCUAGUUUAUAAUAAAAUCCCGGCUUGUCAAGCCGGUGAUGGAGAUUUAUAGCUCCGAUGGAGU
rnacentral:tRNA from 1 species